rnacentral:rRNA from 1 species
GACGAACGCUGGCGGCGUGCUUAACACAUGCAAGUCGAACGGAAAGGCCCUGCUUUUGUGGGGUGCUCGAGUGGCGAACGGGUGAGUAACACGUGAGUAACCUGCCCUUGACUUUGGGAUAACUUCAGGAAACUGGGGCUAAUACCGGAUAGGAGCUCCUGCUGCAUGGUGGGGGUUGGAAAGUUUCGGCGGUUGGGGAUGGACUCGCGGCUUAUCAGCUUGUUGGUGGGGUAGUGGCUUACCAAGGCUUUGACGGGUAGCCGGCCUGAGAGGGUGACCGGCCACAUUGGGACUGAGAUGCGGCCCAGACGCCUACGGGAGGCAGGAGUGGGAGAUAUUGCACAAUGGGCGGAAGCCUGAUGCAGCAACGCCGCGUGCGGGAUGACGGCCUUCGGGUUGUAAACCGCUUUCGCCUGUGACGAAGCGUGAGUAACGGUAAUGGGUAAAGAAGCACCGGCUAACUACGU